UACGUAGGGCGCAAGCGUUGUCCGGAAUUAUUGGGCGUAAAGAGCUCGUAGGCGGCCUGUUGCGUCCGCUGUGAAAACCCGGGGCUUAACCCCGGGCUUGCAGUGGAUACGGGCAGGCUGGAGGCAGGCAGGGGAGAACGGAAUUCCCGGUGUAGCGGUGAAAUGCGCAGAUAUCGGGAGGAACACCAGUGGCGAAGGCGACUACCUGGCCUGUUCUUGACGCUGAGGCGCGAAAGCUAGGGGAGCAAACGGG
rnacentral:rRNA from 1 species